rnacentral:rRNA from 1 species
UACGGAGGGUGCGAGCGUUGUCCGGAAUCAUUGGGCGUAAAGGGCGCGUAGGUGGUUCUGUAUGUCUACCGUGAAAGCGUACGGCUCAACCGUAUUUUGUCGGUGGAAACUGCAGGACUUGAGGCUGGGAGGGGCUGGUGGAAUUCCCUGUGUAGCGGUGAAAUGCGUAGAGAUGGGGGGAGAACACUCGUGGCGAAGGCGGCCAGCUAGACCAGUUCUGACACUGAGGCGCGACAGCGUGGGGAGCAAACAGG